rnacentral:rRNA from 1 species
UGGGGAAUUUUGGACAAUGGGCGAAAGCCUGAUCCAGCAAUGCCGCGUUGUGAUGAAGCAGCUUCGGGUUGUAAAGCACUUUUGUCCGGAAAGAAAUCCUUGGCUCUAAUACAGUCGGGGGAUGACGGUACCGGAAGAAUAAGCACCGGCUAACUACGUGCCAGCAGCCGCGGUAAUACGUAGGGUGCAAGCGUUAAUCGGAAUUACUGGGCGUAAAGCGUGCGCAGGCGGUUUGCUAAGACCGAUGUGAAAUCCCCGGGCUCAACCUGGGAACUGCAUUGGUGACUGGCAGGCUAGAGUAUGGCAGAGGGGGGUAGAAUUCCACGUGUAGCAGUGAAAUGCGUAGAGAUGUGGAGGAAUACCGAUGGCGAAGGCAGCCCCCUGGGCCAAUACUGACGCUCAUGCACGAAAGCGUGGGGAGCAAACAGGAUUAGAUACCCUGGUAGUCCACGCCCUAAACGAUGUCAACUAGUUGUUGGGGAUUCAUUUCCUUAGUAACGUAGCUAACGCGUGAAGUUGACCGCCUGGGGAGUACGGUCGCAAGAUUAAAACUUAAAUGAAUUGACGGGGUCAUAGCUGUUUCCU